GACGAACGCUGGCGGCGUGCCUAAUACAUGCAAGUCGAACGCUGAAGGAGGAGCUUGCUCUUCUGGAUGAGUUGCGAACGGGUGAGUAACGCGUAGGUAACCUGCCUGGUAGCGGGGGAUAACUAUUGGAAACGAUAGCUAAUACCGCAUAAUAGUAGAUGUUGCAUGAUAUUUACUUAAAAGGUGCAAUUGCACCACUACCAGAUGGACCUGCGUUGUAUUAGCUAGUUGGUGGGGUAACGGCUCACCAAGGCGACGAGACAUAGCCGACCGGAGAGGGGGGGCGGCCACCCUGGGACUGAGACCCGGCCCAGACUGCUUCGGGAGGCAGCAGUAGGGAAUCUUCGGCAAUGGGCGGAAGUCUGACCGAGCAACGCCGCGGGAGGGAAGAAGGUUUUCGGAUCGUAAAGCUCUGUUGUAAGGGAAGAACGAGUGUGAGAGUGGAAAGUUCACACUGUGACGGUAUCUUAUCAGAAAGGGACGGCUAACUACGUG
rnacentral:rRNA from 1 species